UGACCUGGGAUAGCUCAGUUGGUGGAGCAGGACGCUCUUAAUCUCAGGGGCCUGGGUUUGAGUCCCAUGUUGGGCAA